AACGAACGCUGGCGGCAGGCCUAACACAUGCAAGUCGAACGCUCCGCAAGGGGAGUGGCAGACGGGUGAGUAACACGUGGGAAUCUUCCUAUUGGUACGGAAUAGCUCAGGGAAACUUGGGGUAAUACCGUAUAAGCCCGUGAGGGGAAAGAUUUAUCGCCGAUAGAUGAGCCCGCGUCUGAUUAGCUAGUUGGUGAGGUAACGGCUCACCAAGGCGACGAUCAGUAGCUGGUCUGAGAGGAUGACCAGCCACACUGGGACUGAGACACGGCCCAGACUCCUACGGGAGGCAGCAGUGGGGAAUAUUGGACAAUGGGCGCAAGCCUGAUCCAGCCAUGCCGCGUGAGUGACGAAGGUCUUCGGAUUGUAAAGCUCUUUUGCCAGGGACGAUAAUGACGGUACCUGGAGAAUAAGCCCCGGCUAACUUCGUGCCAGCCGCCGCCGUAAGAC
rnacentral:rRNA from 1 species